CUAAAUAUAUAUACACCCAUCAUGGCUUUGAUACCAAGGGGGAACAGGACCAAAGAUUAAAAAUAUGAAAGCAGUAAAUCAGAGUAUAAAACAGUAAAGACUUACAAAAGCUUUAUUCCAUAUUCAAAGGCGAAUUACAAGGUGAGAAAGAUGAUUACAGGAGAGAGAGAGAGUGCCCGGGCAAAAAUUGAAACUAGUGGACGAAUUAAAGGAAUGAAGCUCGGCAUGGCAGAGGGAAAUCUCACUAGCGCGGGCAUUAGCACGCCCAUG
rnacentral:lncRNA from 1 species